AAGUCGUAACAAGGUUUCCGUAGGUGAACCUGCGGAAGGAUCAUUACCGAGUGCGGGUCUGCCCCCGGGCGCCCAACCUCCCCCCCGUGAAUACGUGACCCUGUUGCUUCGGCGGCGUGUUCCCCCCCCGGGGGGUCCGCCGCCGGGGACCAUUGAACCCCGAACCGAGUAUGUUGCAGUCUGAGCUUUAAUAGCAAAUCAGUCAAAACUUUCAACAAUGGAUCUCUUGGUUCCG
rnacentral:misc_RNA from 1 species